UACGAAGGGGGCUAGCGUUGUUCGGAUUUACUGGGCGUAAAGCGCACGUAGGCGGACUGGUCAGUUAGGGGUGAAAUCCUGGAGCUCAACUCCAGAACUGCCUUUAAUACUGCCAGUCUCGAGUCCGGAAGAGGUAAGUGGAACUCCUAGUGUAGAGGUGGAAUUCGUAGAUAUUAGGAAGAACACCAGUGGCGAAGGCGGCUUACUGGUCCGGUACUGACGCUGAGGUGCGAAAGCUAGGGGAGCAAACAGG
rnacentral:rRNA from 1 species